rnacentral:RNase_P_RNA from 2 species
UGAGUCGGCCAGGCGGUCGCGUCACGCCGGCCCCGGCCGGUGUGCCGAGGAACGUCCGGGCUCCGCAGGGCAGGGUGGUGGGUAACGCCCACCCGGGGCGACCCGCGGGAAAGUGCCACAGAGAGCAGACCGCCUUCCUGGUCCGCCAGGGAGGUAAGGGUGAAACGGUGGUGUAAGAGACCACCAGCACGGCGGGUGACCGUCGUGGCUCGGUAAACCCCACCCGGAGCAAGACCAGACAGCAGACGCUCGAGGGCUGCCCGCCCGAGUCUGCGGGUAGGUCGCUCGAGACGUGCGGCAACGCACGUCCUAGAUGGAUGGCCGCCACCGCGGCGCCGGCGACGGCGCCGCGGGACAGAACCCGGCGUACCGGCCGACUCAUCCG